AGGAGGUGAACAAGCCUCACUUCCUUCCUCACUGCCAGGACCGCCCCCGCUGCUGCCACCGCUCCUGCCCGCCACUGCAGUUCCUGAGGGGACCCCCGCCAAGCCAGGCAAAGAUCAAGGAACACAACCCCUGGAGAGGACAUGUUUACUUACUGUCAACUCAACUGGCAGCCAGCCAAAAGCUUAACAUGGGCUCUUAAAACACAGUAAGGAGACGGAGUACUGCAACUGCUUGUGGGAGGAUGGCCUUGGUAUCCAUGAAGUGGCAAAGGCAACCCACCAAUGACAGGAGGAAAUAAGAAGGGAUAGUGGGUGGCUGGAUAGUGAUUCAUAUGUCCGUUUACAG